GUCCACAUGAGUAAACAGCUUCCUUUCACAGCCUCAGUUUCCUCGUAGGAAACUUCCCCUCUGACAGAGAGCCCAGAGGGCACUUUUUCACCAUGAGCACAUGGACUACCCUGGGCUUACUGAGGACCCCAUCGUCUAUGUUCAUCAAAUGAUACAGAAGAGAGUCACCUGUACUGGUCAAGCUCUGCAUAGAUUGAACCCUUCAGCCCCUCCCACCCAACCACUCUAAGCAGGCUUCUCAUGCACCCGCAUUUCCACCAGAAGUGGGAGGUUCCCAGGCCCCUCACACCCAUAGCAUCGCACACUGAGGAAAGGAGAGGCCACUGGAGAAAGGGAAAGUGUUGGGAUCCCAGGGGUCUAAGGGAGUGAAAACAAGGUGUACUCUCAGCUCAUGAACAAAAACUUCGGCUUCCAGGAGUGCUGGGUGUUGGCAGCUUUAUCUCCGGCCAGCGAGAGACUCAUGUCAGAAACUGCCCAUUCCUGGUGAAUUUCAAUGAGAUGCCCUUUCUGCAAGGAGGAGGAAAGCCAUCAUUUAAAAGGCGAAAGCUGCUUUCACUUGGCAAGAUAUGAUAGAGCAAGUGCAGCCUUGGGGAACAGGAAGAGAAGGCUGGGGGUCUUCACCCACUGCAAGUUACAUGCAGUGCACGUCCGGGUUUUUAGACAUGACUGUGGGUACUGCAGAAGACGAACCCUACACUCAGAAGAUUUCAAUCGGCUGAAUCCUGCAGAGGAAAGUCAAUUCUGCCCUUCGAUGUAGGAAAAAGGUGUGAGAAGAAACCAACCUCAGAGACCUCCCCACCCCAUAUUCCAGCUCCCAGGUUACUGAAUUCAGGCUCCUGCUGUACCUGCCUCCAAAUCCUGCAAGAACCCUGUGCACCACCAGAGAGACCCCCAGAGGCUCUCAAGAGACAUCUACUCUGUGGCUUUUGGGACUUAUUAUGUAAAAAAGGAAAUUGGAUCCAGAUCCUUUUCAGACACUCCAAGUAGAUUUUUCAGGGACAUUUGGGUAUCUCUGGCCCUCCAGUGUUUGAUGGCGAGACAGAAGUAGCUAGAUGGAUAGGAAAGGAGGCUCAGGGGCCUCAGAAUAUCAGGUUUUACAUGGACUGUCCCACCUUGCUUCUCCUGGCCCAUGUCCCACCAAAACACUAAACACCAAAUACUUCUCUACCCACAUCAUAAAUAACAAUAAUGGUAACAGCCACUCAUAAUACAGACUGCUUAGCCACAGCCCCUGCUUGUCUAGUUCACAGUAAAACAAGCAAUAUACCUUCUGGAAAGAAUAAGGACUCUGAUCUACAGGUCACAUUCAAUGCAGGCAUAUCUGUAGUAGCUUCUACCCACAAGCCGAACUGUGUUGAAAUCCAAUACAAAUUAAAGACAGCUUGUCUCCUUGAAAAUGUUCACGUCACCUGCCACUUUGUCUCAUGGUAGCAGAGUGAAGACAGAUCAGAGGCAAUCUUGAUCUUUUUGCUAGUUUCCAGAUGUGCCGAAAUAACUCCAUUUCUUCUAAAUUUAUCGAAGUGUUGACAGACAGAGAAAUGCCAAGCUGUCAGUUGGAACAGAGACCUCACUUCAGUUUUCAAAAUAAAUGCAUCCUAAAGAAGUUCUUGGAGGAGCAAAUGGCAACCCACUCUAGUAUUCUUGCCUGGAAAAUCCCAUGGACCAGAAGGAGCCUGGCGGGCUACAGUCUGUGGGAUUGCAAAGAGUUGGACGUGACUUAGCAACUAAACAGCAACAGCAGAGAAGUUCUACAGUGGAAAUCAUACCAGAUCGAGCAUCAGAAGAACCAACUUCCAGUUCUUGGCUUGGCUGUCGCUGACCACGUGGAUUUAGGAAGUCAUAUCACCCUCUGGGGCCUUAGAUACCUAAUCUGCUUGGACAAAAUGAUAUUAUGCUGA
ensembl:lincRNA